rnacentral:rRNA from 1 species
GAUGAACGCUAGCGGGAGGCCUAAUACAUGCAAGUCGAACGGUAACAGGGGUAGCAAUACCUGCUGACGAGUGGCGUACGGGUGAGUAACACGUACACAACCUGCCUUAUACUGGAGAAUACCCCCAAGAAAUUGGGACUAACUCUCCAUAACAUAUCGAAAAGGCAUCUUUUUGAUAUUAAAACUCCGGUGGUAUAAGAUGGGUGUGCGUCUGAUUAGCUAGUUGGUGAGGUAACAGCUCACCAAGGCAACGAUCAGUAGCUGGUCUGAGAGGAUCAUCAGCCACACGGGCACUGAGACACGGGCCCGACUCCUACGGGAGGCAGCAGUAGGGAAUAUUGGACAAUGGGCGCAAGCCUGAUCCAGCCAUCCCGCGUGAAGGAUUAAGGUCCUAUGGAUUGUAAACUUCUUUUUUUGGGGAAUAAAAACUGGCGUUUUCGCUGGCUUGAAGGUACCCAAAGAAUAAGCACCGGCUAACUCCGUGCCAGCCGCCGCGGUAACAC